ACUCACCGCAAGUCCCGCUGCAGCACGUCACUGAUGAAGGUCUCGUAGCGCAGCACUUUCUCCCCCGUGGCCUCCACCGCCCGCCGCUUAGGGGGCGUCGCCAUGAUGGGCUCCUGGGGAGUGGGGAGGGGGAAGACCAUGUUGACCGAUCCAGUUUGGCCUCACACACAGUUCAUCUCUACCCUCUCAACGCUGGGAAUCGGCUUGUCCGGCUCAAGCUGGAGGUUCAGCCUUCCGCCCCUCCCAACUCGGGGACCCGACCACCCAGGGACACCCAAGCGCGGCCUUUACCUCAGGCCGCCAGCAAUAAGAACGGUUGGUAGGAACCGCGGCUUCCGGGUGGCGCGGGUGAAUGACGUUAGAUUUUCAAACAAGAACUUAUAACCCAGCAAGAAUGGGCCUUUGCCUGGAGAAGAAUCCAGACCAUGGGAUGAAUCCCCAAAUGCUAUUUCCAUCUGUAGAGCCUAGAGCACCCACCCCUACCAAGGAAGUCUUCCCAGAUAAUUUGUGUUUCAUAUGUAAAAGCAAGUUUUUUUUUUCAAAUGCUCAAAACCCAAGCAAGUUAAGCCCUUCCUUCCUUCCUUCCUUCCUUUCUUUUCUCUCUCUCUCUCUUUCUUUCUCUCUCUCUCUCUUUCUUUCUUUUUUUUCUUUUUUAGACAGGGUCUGUGUCCCCUAGGCUGGAGUGCAGUGGUAUGAUCAUGACUCAUUGCAGCCUCAACCUCCCAGGCUCAAGUGAUCCUCCCGCUUCAGCCUCUGGAGUACCUGGGACUACUGGCAUACACCACCACGCCCAUCUAAUUUUUAAAAAAGUUUUUGUAGAGACAGAGUCUCACUAUGUUGCCCAGGCUGGUCUCAAACUCCUAGGCUUAAGUGAUUUGCCCACCUCGGCCUCCCAAAAUGCCGAGAUUAUAGGCAUGAGCCAGCACACCUGGCCAAGUUAAGCUUUUCUUUGCCCUUAGAACGAGAUAAUUGUAAAAUGAAAACAUUGAGAUUAGUUUUUUUGGUCUGUAAAUCUCAUGUUACAUAUAGUUUAAAUUACAUUGAGUGUGAUUGGAAUAGAUACUAGGUAGAAAAAUAUUAUCUAGUUAAUCUAUACCACUUUCCUGUGAAAAGAGAGAAAAGAAGACACAUAUUUAUUUAACAGAGAACACAAUUCUGAUGGGCUGGAGAUGAGUCUGUGUAAGUCUAUUAACUUAUAUUUCACAAAAAAGAAUUUUUUACUUAAAAAUGUAUUUCCAACUUUAUUUUUACAUUUCAAACCUACAGAAAAGUUGACAGUGAACACUCAUAUACCCUGCACUUAAGUUCGCCAGUUGUUUUAUUUUGAAUUUUUAAAAUUUUUUUAGAGGCAGGGUCUUGCUCUCUUGCCUAGGCUAGAAUGCAGUGGUGUGAUCUCGGUUCACUGCAACCUCUGCCACCGGGCUCAAGCAAUCCUCCCGCCUAAGCCUCCUGCAUAGCUGGGACUACAGGCAUGAGCCACCAUGCCCAGCUAAUUUUUUGUAGAAAUGGGGUUUCACCAUGUUGCCCAGGCUGGUCUCGAAUGCCUGAGCUCAAUCAGUUCGCCUAACUCGGCCUCCCAGGGUGCUGGGAUUACAGGCGUGAGCCACCAUGCCCGGCCUGGAUUCACUCGUUGUUAAUAUUUGAUCACAUUUGCUUUCUUUCCAGACCAUAGGAUAAUUGUUGACAUGGCUGCAUAGCAUUCCAUUCUUUGGAUGGCCUCAGAUUUUUGAGCCACUCCUCUGUCACUGGAUAUUUGAAUGUGUUCAGAUAUUUUCGUUGUUAUAACCAGGAUGGGAUAAGUCUUUGCUGUCAAAUUUUUGUGCGGAGCCAUGAUUAUUUCCUUGUGAUAAAUUCCUAGAAGUAGAAUUUAUAGAUUUUUUUUGAGACAGAGUCUCACUUUGUUGCCAAGGCUGGAGUGUAGUGGUGUGAUCUCUGCUCAUGGCAACCUCUGCCUCCUGGUUUCAAGUGAUUCUUCUGCUUCAGCCUCUGGAGUAGCUAGGACUACGGGCACACACUACCAUGCCGCCUAGCUAAUUUUUGUAUUUUUAAUAGACACAGGGUUUCACCAUGUUGGCCAGGCUGGUCUCGAACUUGUGGCCUCAAGUGAUCUGCCCACCUCGGCCUCCCAGGGCGCUGGGAUUACAGGCAUGAGCCACCUCACCCGGCUGAAUUUAUGGAUUUAAAGGAGGUCACUGCAUUGUAAAUCAAGUGUUGAGUGACAGUGGUACGCAUAACAGUGAACCUCCUCAUCUAAGCUCUAUAUCAGGGGUCAGCAAAUUAUGGCCCCUGGUUUGCUGACCCUUUACAGUUUCCUAUAGCCUGCAAACUAGGAAUACUAUUUACAUCUUUAAAGGGCUUUAGAAAAGUAAAACUAAUAUUUUGUGACACAUCAAAAUUAUAUGAAAUUUGCAUUUUAGUGUCCAUUAAUAAAAUUUUCUUGGAACA
rnacentral:lncRNA from 1 species